GGAACAGACUUGUACUCCUGACAGCACCAUUCCUGAUGUUCCCAGUAGCAGCAGACAAGGUCAGCCUUGGGUCCUGUGCUCCCACCGGCACACACACAUACAGUCCAUAGGCAGAGAGGCAGCCUGACACAUGUCUGAGCCCUAGCGGGUCUCGGCAAUGGAAGAGUACACACUUCAAAGGUGAUGUCGGGUUAGGCGGGGUGCAUGAGUGGGUGGAUGAUGGGCACGUGGAGUGAGGAGGUGAGGAGGAGAAAGCUCAGGAGCCGGCACCUCCCUACAGGAAGCUCCUCCCAGGGUCAUCAUGGGCCUUGUCCUCUAAUGAGAACAGAGGAGCUGCCGUUCGCUCAGCUGAAGUAACACUCACUUCACAGGGCUCAUGUGAAUGUGUGGGAAAUGAGGCACUGGCACCCCCAGCCUAAGGGCCAGGGCUCAGAAGAAGACACAGAAGACAGCACCGUUUUUACUGGUGACCCUGUGUGACCUCCUGCUGCUGGGAUUUACUCCUCCAUCACUCCACAUCUCUCCUUUCAAUCAGCUCACCUUGUUUCAGCCAGGCAUAGCUGUAGAAGCUAGGGUUAAGGAAGCAUGAGAUUCAGUCCUUAAUGUGAGUGAUGUGUAUGAGGUCCCACGGCUGCCUACAGGGAAAGAAGAAGAGCAGACAGCAGAGGAGAGAGGUGGAAGCAGCCAAGACCCAGAGGAAGCAGCCACAAAGGAACUGUUACCGCAGAAGCAGGGGCGGCCUUGGAUGAGGGAAUUCCACACAGAGAAGCAGCAAGUGCCAAAGCAAUCAGGCAGAGAAGCACAGAGCACCGGGAGAAACAGCAUGGGUCUGCAUUUGGGACCUCAGCGGCAGGAAUAUGGCAUGCCUGAAGGCCUGUGGACAGCAUUUUUGGCUCGUGAUUGACAGUGGAGACCGGAAACUGGGGAAGCAAACUAACAGAUAAGGGCCGCUGCUAUCCACACAGGACUAAUUGGGCUCCAGCUAUGGGGGCACCGUGCUGGCCUCCUCUACAUAAAGUCUCUCCUUGACCAGCUCUGAUGACAAAUGAGUCUGACAAGGAGGUCUCCUCUUCGAUUCACAUAAUUAAUUAUCCCUGGAGAAAUGGCCAAUUUAGGAGCACGUUUUUCUUUCUGAAGAGACAGGCCGGCGGACUAAGUGAAGGCAAAAGAAGUCCCACAAGCAGCCGAGCACAGACCCCCCACGGCCGCAGGACCAGCACUUGGAAGUCCUUGGAAACCUCCUUCCGAGGUUCACAGUUCUCCCCGAGGAUUUGAGAAGGAGUCGAGAGUGGUUAUUGUACUAGUGACCGUGGAGGAGAGAACAGCAAAGCAGUUCUGCUGGGCGAGGGUUUGCGAGCGACCGCGUUUCUGUGGGCAAGGAAGAGUGAGGGGAGGGGUUUCCAAACCCUGCUCAAAGCCGCUCCCAGCAGGACAGGGUCUCCUUCCCUCCCCGUCUUUCCUUCCCCUCUCCCAACUCUCUUUCUAAGCCCCUCUCCAAAAAGGUUUAUGGAGAAGUCUCCAAAUAGCCCCCUCUCCUGCAGGCAUAGUCACACCAACUGAAAGGAGAUUUAAUUAGCAAAAUCUCGUUAGGCAAACGAAAUUAUCCGUAAGACAAUACUCUUCUGGACAGGGGGUAUGAUUAAACAAAGCCAUUAAUUGAGAGAGUCGCUUUGGCAGCUCCCGAGUUGCGUUCAUCUCCGGGCAGGCUCCACUCUGCCUCCGUGGACCUGAGGAACAGACUCUUGGCUUCCUCCCCUUGCCUGCCUAGCCCACCUCCUCCCCACUUCAUCUCUGCUCUUCCCAGGGCCCCUCCGGUUAGGGCUGCAGACCUCGGCAUCUCAUCAGCGGCCUCUCUGCUGCCAGAUUCCCGCUAAAGUGCCUUGAUUGCAUAAUGUCUAUUUGCAUAAUGUAAAUUGCAAUCUCCUAGCUUGGGAGGCAGGAAUCACAGAACAGCCAUUAUUUUUUACCACUCCACAAAAAUUCUACAUUUAGAAAGCAGAUUUGCAGCUCAGAAAGCCAUAUAAAUCUGAAUCCACCAAAACGCCAUUAAAUCACACCAAUUAGGCUGGACCUAUGCAGAGACCCUGUCACCGCUCUCGGUACACUCCAGCCCACAGAAGGCCACAGGACACUGGGGCAGGCGGGGUGGAGGCAGAUGCUGAAAGGAUGAGGUAGGGAACUCUAUCCUACAAACUUGAUCAGCACUCCCACCCACAACAUCCCUCUCAACACACACACACACACACACACACACACACACACACACACAGAUGCGCCUGUGCUGUUCCAAAAGGACCUGGUAGAGCAAGGAGGGGAAGCCGGUCCGUGUUCUUUAGGUUCAUUGUCUGAUGUUUCGUAGGUUGCAGUCUGUCUUGGCUGUAGAUUUUUUCAAAUAAUAAUAAUAAUAAUAAUAAUAAUUAUUAUUAUUAUUAUUAUUAUUAUAUUUAGCAUCUCUGUAUAUGAUCAUUGCUUUAUCGUUGGCUUGGAACUGGCUCUGUAGACCAGGCUGGCCUCAGACGCACAGAGAUUUGCCUGCUUCUGCCUCAGUGAUUGGGAAUAAAGUGUGCACCAGCGUGCCCAUUUGCUUCAGACUUGUGACUUUGGAGAAGAAAGUGAAAGUGCACCUUUAAUCAAAAGCAAUGCCGGGUACUUCACAGAGGAUUAAGAUCAAUUCCUAUCAGCGCGUUAUUAACCUUCCCUCCUCUCCAGACCUGGGGAAAGAAAAAGAGGCCAGGCAAAAACCUGGCUCUGAGUAGGCUGCUCCGGAUGGAGUCUGAGCUCCCUGAAGAACCCUCUCUGAGGGUCCUUGGAAGGAGGGGUGAGUCACGAGGUCUCUGGAAGUGCAGCGUUCCCUUGGCCAAUCACCCAGCACUCCAGCUUUGCUGAAGCAGUAUACCUGGAUACUCUUCUGACUCUUUAUUGCUCAUUCAAUAUUCAUUUGUCAAAGGGCAAGAUGCUAAUGUGUAUUAUUAAAAUAUCAAUAGUUUAUGAGUGAACUUUAUGGCAAGUACAGUUAAAGGCAAGAUUCUUGACCAUCUCUCAGAAGCAACAGAAAGGAGUGUUCUUUCUUUCUGGUGUCUUUCUUUCCUGUCCUUUUUUUAAAAUUCAUUUACUGAAUAAAUGAAUGGCACAAUCACGGUUGAGCACUGUGUGCCAGGAAUGACUCUAGAGUAUUCACAUCUGGUUUCCCCACAGUAGUCCUAGGGAGUGGACAUAAUGCGAUUCCUUUAACUGCCCAAGUUUAAUAGGUUUCCUGACCUAAAUAUUAUGAACGGGGGGAAAAAAAGAGGAAAUUAUUCCAUACCUCCAUGCCAGAGCGUCUUCAUAAAGCAGGCCCACUUUAACUGUACCUAAGUAAGUUCCCACACUCUCCACUUAGAAUCUGAAUACUGACGGGUGACACUGGGGAUGAUGUCGUCAGACAUUGUCUUGUUAGAGGAGAGUAAACUGAGACUCUUUCUUUUAAAUAAGAUUUUGUCAAUAUAAUAAUUAUACAUAUUAAAGGGAGUUCAGUGAUUGUCUAUACACGCAUACACUAUACACCGAGCAAAUAACGAAGUAGUUUAAGUCUCAAUAACAGAGAGUUCUAAGUUGAAUUUCAACUGUGCCCCAGACUUCCUUCCUAUAGCAUUUCCCUUGUCCUUGGGGCCUUCUCUUCUUUGUACAUACAGAGCUAAUAACAGGAUCCCAUGAAGUAUGGUGUGAUGAGAAAUGCACCCCAAGGGCUUAGUAUAGUGCCCAGUAUAUAGUAAACACUCAGCAGGCAUUGCUUACUAAUAUCAAAUUUGACUUCAUGUGGAAGGAAGAAAAAACCCUAGUACCUUUCCAUCAAGACUAAGACCAUUUCCCCCCUCUCUUCCCUGCCUAGCUCUUGGCACUGGCCGUUCCCAAGUGUCAGCCCUUGUAAGAUGGACUGGUUCUGUUUCUACUCUUGGGUGACUUUGGGAUUUGUUUUUGUCCCUUAAGUCCCAAUAAAGCAGCCAGAGCACUCAUAUUCCCUUCAAAAUAUAGUAGCAUCUAUAUCCGGCAUGGGAAAGAGGAACGAGAGUGGUUCCUUAAAGGUAGAGGCUCCCAGACCAGAGUGUGUGACAGAGGAAAAGGAGACCAGCAGAGGACUUGGAAGACCACGGAGAAGUUGGUGUGCAGAAUUCCCCAACCCCAUCAAGUCCCUUGUAGUCUUUUAAGCUUCUAGCUUUGCCUGGAACCUACCCCAGCUUUGAUAGCCAUGAAAAUGGAAAUAUGGGAAGCCUUGAUGUUAGCAAAGGGCUCAGGCUUGCAGAGUCCUUGUUUACAGGUCUAGAGUCUUCUAGAUCCAAGGUUUCAAGCUGUGAGUUAUAAACACACAUUCUCCCUGGUAUGGACCACGAGGUCACAGUUUCUCCCAGCACAGGACCUCCUAGAACUACCACCCCCUGCCUGGGAAGAAGCUCAGCUUGGCUUGGAGGGGGUUCCAAAGCUAAGGUUUCUUUCCAGGGUGUAAUGUAUAUUAUGGUGGUAAAUUGUCAUGCGUUGUUUACGCUCACUGAGAAGCAGACUCUAGAAGCAAGGUUGUCCCUCAGCACACUUCAGAUCCAAGCAUGUUUAUGUGAACUAUCCUUUAAAAGCCCUGUCCUGAAUCAGGCUGGCCGUUUGGUUCUGUGACAGGGAGAAAGAAAAACAGUAAGCAGCUAAGGUUAUUAAAAACAUCAUGCCCUUGAGAAAAGCUUGAAGGUAAACCAUUUCCAAUGGAGGUUACUAUUGUUUAUCCUAUAGUGUAAAAAUGCCUCCACGGGAACAAGAGGCCAGAAAUUCAGAAGUUAACCCGUGGAUGAAAAUCUCAACUGGGGACUCCAGCUGACUGCCUCAACUUCCCCAGUUGAUUUCUUCUGGAUGAUUAUGUGAGCUGGCUGCCUCAAUGGGGCUUUCCCAGUCAGUUUCUGCUGGACGUUUGUAUGCCCCUGAUGGAUGAUAUUACGCGUUGUUUGUGCUCUCUAUUGGGAUACUUCAAGUACCUCUACCACCUGAUUUGAGGAUAUCUUUUGCUAGCUGUCUGCUGCUCCUGUUGCUACUCACUAUUUAUCUUUUAUCUUUUGUUUGCUAUCUGCUUAAUAAACUCACUCCUUCAAAACUGAAAGUACAGCUGUCAUAGAUCAUUCUCCAGACUGUACAGAAUACACCAUCCCCUCCCUGCCCUGCGAAGGGUCAAUUUCAAUUGUUCUGGGAACUAGGUGAGGCCCAUUGUACUAGGCCAAUAGCAGUCGUAGUAGGUUGUGGUUUCCAAAGAUGAGUGCAACAGCAUAUGUACGGUAGCUUCCAUAUCUGUAGGUUAUAGCAUAGAUUCAAUGAAUUACAGAUAGGAAAUAUUUGAUAAAUAUAGUAUCUGUAAUGAACAAGUACAGGCAUUUUUGCUUCCUAUUAUUCCCUAAACAACAUGGUAUUAGCAACUAUUUACAUAGCAUUUACAUUGUGUUCAGUCGAAUAAGUAAUCUAGAGAUGAUUUCAAGUAUGUGGGAAGAUGUGCAUAGGCUACUUGUGAAUGCUAUGCCUGCCAGUGUCUGCAUCUACAUCUUCCGAUUUGAGGCUCUACAAGGGGUCCAGAACCAUCCCUGUAAAUAUGAAGGGAUGGAUUAAAAAAUGUGUGUGUGCGCACACACACACACACACACACACACACACACACACACACACACACAAACACACACACACACACACACACACACACACACACCCUUCACCCUUGCUUUCCUUUAACGGGAUAUUGAUAGUGUUGAGAGGCAGUGAGGAUUGUGGACCUUUGUGCCUGACCUUAUGGAUAGAAUGAAGUGGUGCUACUUGACUAUAAGGAGCGAGUCAUGAAAGGCAAUAAAGCUUCCACCACUUUCGCUCUCCCUCAGGCAGCUUCGCCCUGGAGUUUGGCAGCCAUAUUGUAAGGAAGUCCAGAUCACGUGGAAAGGCCAUGGAGGUCUGACUGGCUGGUCUCAGUCAAGAGCUGAUAUAAAAGCCCAGAAUUUGGGGGGAACAAACCUGUGGUGGUUACACUGCCCAUCUUCUGAGUUGUCUUUACUGAAAUCUCAUACCUAGUAGACAGAGACAAGCUGUCCUCACCAUGUCCUAUAUAAAUUCCUGACUCUCAGAAUAUUUGGGCAGAAUAAACAUUCAGCUGCUGCGUUUGUGUGUCAGUUUGUUACACAGCCUAAAAACCAAGACACCAUUAUAAUAAAACUCUCCCUGCUGUUUCCAGCACAUCCAGCACCAUUUCCAUUAUUUCCAUGCAAAUCUGGCUAUCACUGGAUUCUUCUGAAUUCCCUUGGAAACUUCAGACAUUCUGUCUCUUUCUGUCCUUGUCACUCUGCCUGCUGUCUCUCCUCUUCUGCCUCCCUCUCCAAAGGGCAGGAUCCUCACACCUGAAGCGGCUUGGGCAACUACUACCUGAAAUACCUUUGACUCCUGUCCAUCCAAGAGCCCUGGACCUGCUCUUGGGUUCCUCAAUGUAGGUCCAGGAGUGUCCCUUUGAGGGACCUUUCCCUGGGUUUCCAUGGCCCAGUGCUCAGAAUGCCCACUCCCCUCCACACAGACCAAUUUCUCUCUUACUCUCAGCUCUCAUUAAGGUUCACGCUCAGCUUGCUCCUUAUACUUGACUUAUGAGGUCCCAGUAACCUCCGGAAUGAGGAGACAUCGAUUCUCACAGAGGUCAUUAUCUUCUACUCCACUUCCCCGACACACACACACACACACAGUCACACCCACACCGAUAUCCCCAGUUCUAGGUAGGCUUUCCCGGAACAGGAUGGAGAAAGGCACCCUUCUCCGCCCCUUCAGCCUAGGAAUUCGACCACUCCAGAGCCAGGGCUUCAGAGGAGGUGCCCUGGGAGCAGAGGCCCGUCAAUCACUCAUUCAGGCAACCAGCACUGAAUUGCAGGCCAUUAGGCAGAGGACCGGCGCCCUGCUCACUCACCGGGCAGCCAUCGGCAGGAUGUUAGCCCAUCGCAAGUCGGCCAUUCUUAUGAUUUAUUCAAACACUCAUUACAGUCAAUCUAUUUUUACACAGAGGUGAAGAUGUGCACUGAUAACGGUUAAUCAUUUAUAAUUCCAUGGACUGGUUGAAAGCCAAUGUACUAUCAAAGUCGUGGUGGUAGUGCCUCAGCCUCAGGUAGCCCCUGAAGCAAAGUAGAGAAGUCUUUAUGCCGGCCCAGGGUAACCCAGUCACCUGCUAACACUUAUCAACCAGGAGGAAGGUGAGUCUCAGACCUGCCCCCACCAGGAGCUCGUGCCCUGCUGGCGGGAGCGCAAGCCAGAUGAGUGGGCAAUGUGACAGUGCUACAGAAUCCCAGGAGGGAGCGGCCACAUUUGAGUUACCAAGAAAUGGUGUGCAGAGGAGGCUUUGGCCAGGCCCUACAAGCGAGCAGACUGGGUCCCAGUGAGGUGGGCCAACGCCGAGCCCAUCAGCCUCAAAGGGGGUGGAGCCAUUAGCGUCCUGGAGGAAGGAAGUGGUCGGCAGUAUUUCUCUUACUCUCCUUUGUAUGUCCCCAGAAAUAACCAACUAGAAAAGAAAGCAUGAGCGAUGAACACGGCCUGGAUGGGGGACCAAUGUCAUCCAUUCUUCCCUGUACUCCUGCUCAGGCCACGGAGAGAAGGGACUGAGGAUCAGGUUGGCCUCGCAAACUCAGUAGCUUCCUUCCCUAGCACUCACGACACAUGUAACAUAUCAAAUCUACCUUUAUGUCCAAUCAAUACAGUCUAAUUAAGUAGCAUGUCAUAUUACAGAGCCUCUUUGUCACAUUCAGACAUAAUCUAAUUAGAGCCCCACUGUAUUUUACAUCCUGACUGGUUCAUUGUUCAGUGUGUUUCUUCUGCAAUGUGCAGUAGUUAAAGAUCAGGCUUGGGGCUGGUCCUGAACCCAUAACUUUAUAGGGUCAGUGUGGAAAACGCCAA